rnacentral:rRNA from 1 species
GUCCACGGCUAUGCCUUUAAUGCACCCGAUCUCCUCCGAUCUCAGAAGCUCGGAAGCUAAGCAGGGUUGGGCCCGGUUUGUACUUGGAUGGGACAUCACCUAGGAAUACCGAGUCUCGUAGGUG